AUCAACGCUGGCGGCGUGCCUCCUAACACAUGCAAGUCGAACGAGAAAGUCCCCGCAAGGGGAUGAGUAAAGUGGCGAACGGGAGUGAGUAGCACGUAGCUAACCUGCCUCGAGUCGGGGGAUAACCUGGGGAAACCCGGGCUAAUACCCCCCGACAUUCGACUUCACAGGAGAUGGAAUCAAAGGCCCGCAAGGGUCGCUCGGGGAGGGGGCUGCGGCCGAUUAAGCUAGUUGGCGGGUAAUGGCCCACCAGGCGAUGAUCGGUAGCCGGCCUGAGAGGGCGCACGGCCACACUGGCACUGAAACACGGGCCAGACUCCUACGGGAGGCAGCAGUGGGGAAUUUGGCGCAAUGCCCGGAAAGGGUGAUGCAGCAACGCCGCGUGAGGGAUGAAGGUCUUCGGAUCGUAAACCUCUUUCGAUCGGGAAAAAUGGGCGGGUGAAUAGCCCGUUCUGAUGGUACCGGAAGAAGAAGACCCCGGCUAACUACGUGCCAGCAGCCCGCGGUAAUACGUAGGGGGCGAGCGCUUGUUCGGAAUUACUGGGCGUAAAGGGGCGUGUAGGCGGUGCGAUAAGUUGGGCGUGAAAUCCCCGGGCUUAACCCGGGGCGGUCGUUCAAGACUGUCGUGCUAGAGUGCAGGAGAGGGAAGUGGAAUUCCCGGUGUAGCGGUGAAAUGCGUUAGAUAUCGGGAGGAGCACCUGCGGCGAAGGCGGCUUCCUGGACUGCAACUGACGCUGAGGCGCGACGAAAGCUAGGGGAGCAAACAGGAUUAGAUACCCUGGUAGUCCUAGCCCUAAACGAUGAAUUACUGGGUGUGGCCCCGUACGGGGCUGUGCCGGAGCUAACGCAUUAAGUAUUCCGCCUGGGGAGUACGGUCGCAAGGCUGAAACUCAAAGUGAAUUGACGGGGGCCCGCACAAGCGGUGGAGCAUGUGGUCAAUUCGACGCAACGCGAAGAACCUUACCUGGACUCGAAAUUUUGUUGACCGUCUCAGAGAUGAGACUUUCCCGCAAGGGACAGCAGAAUAGGUGCUGCAUGGCUGUCGUCAGCUCGUGUCGUGAGAUGUUGGGUUAAGUCCCGCAACGAGCGCAACCCUUACCCUUAGUUGCUCAUCCGUAAGGAAAGCACCCUAAGGGAAUUGCCUCGGAUAACGAGGAGGAAGGUGGGGAUGACGUCAAGUCCUCAUGGCCUUUAUGCCCAGGGCUACACACGUGCUACAAUGGCCGGUACAAAACGUCGCAAACCCGCGAGGGGAGCCAAUCGCGUAAAAACCGGUCUCAGUUCGGGUAUUGCAGGCUGCAACUCGCCUGCAUGAAGCUGGAAUCGCUAGUAAUCGCGUAUCAGAACGACGCGGUGAAUACGUUCCCGGGCCUUGUACACACCGCCCGUCACAUCACGAAAGUGGGUUGUACUAGAAGGUCGUAAUUCUAACCGCAAGGACGAUAGCGCCCAAGGUAUGACCCAUGAUUGGGGCU
rnacentral:rRNA from 1 species